ensembl:lncRNA
CUUAAACCCUGUUCCAUAUCUGGUUAAAUGUUCAUUGAAUGCUAGUUUUGACUGUAGUUAACAUAGACAAUUACUUGGAUUAGAUUGAUAGUGCGAUCCGGGGAAUCUGAAAUAACUUUAUUUCUAGGCUUGUGUCCUCAUUGAAAAGGCACCACCCUCACGUCUAUUGAUCAUUACAAUGUUGAGACCAAAACCUUUUAGUGUUUGAAUUCUUCAUUAAGGACAGUUGAAAGUUACCCAUAUCUUGCCGUAAAACCCAUCUUUUAUGUUACUCUUGAAUUAGUCUCAUUCUAAGAAGUUAUUGCCUACCCAUGUUUCUUUUUGUGUGUAGAGGACUCAAAAACAGAGAGAGAUCACCGGUCUGUUUUGGAAGUUGAAAGAAGAAAAAUACGCUAAGAAACCCAUUCCAAACUCUCAACUCUCCUUCAUGACUCAAGGUUGGACCAUAUGAGUAAGCCAAAUAUGUGUUUUCCCAUCCUUAUGAGGGAAGAGCAGUCUCUACAGCUAAUAACAUGUUACACACCACAUGUUCCCUGGGCAUACGCUGAAAAUGUUUGGAAGAGUCAAAGAGCUAGAUUCUCCUGUUAAGGACUUAGACUGUCACAUUGGUGUUCCCUCAUGAUCACCAGUGGUCUGCUUGUGGAAAUUGUUCAAACCUCUAGGAGAUGUGGCGCCAUCUGAAAUUUAAUAAGCACCUCUACAUGGUCCUCUUGGAACCCUGAUGCUGUGUGCUAAGCAAGUCUAAACUAACCCACUGUGAGUAGGAGAACCAAGGCACUGCAGCCCAGCAGAGGGCUGAAUGUAAAGACGAGAGAGGUCUCAGAUGUCACUACAUGAUGCAGAGUAAGUUGUCCAGUGAACUCAUGGAAACGGGAUGACAAAUCACUGCUUCAGAACAAGUUUUAGGCUCAUCUGCUAUGCAGUAAUUACUGGUGACAAUUCUCUCCCAUUUCAAGACGUGAAGAUGAUGGGGUCAGAUCGUGCGAGGGAAGGACAGGAAAUGGUGACCAAGCUCAUACUAUCCUUGCGCUAGUGAGCUAACAGCCAUGCUAGGGAGGAGACCUAAGUCAUCACUUUAGAAUUAAGAACUGUGGGACGUUCUGGCUUGCUAACCUAACGGGACAUCUCUAUCAUCACAAGGCACUGGAACUAUCCAGAAACAAAGGCUGACAAGAUCAUAAUACCCAGAGGUGUGGGAGGACUGGCACAAACCAGUGCUCGGGACAUUUCAGGACCACUGUACUCAUGAACUCUCGGUAUAGAGAGGUGUGCACCAGAUCUCACCCCUGAAUGAGGAAUAGACAGCUAGUGACUGCUGGGAAAGUAGGAGCCAUUUUCUUUAACCAUGAGGCUCUGGUGUUGAGCAUGCCUCAAUGGAUGGCCCCACACCCAUGAAUUGGACUCCUUGGAUUAUUAAAAAAAAAUUAAUGUGUGAUGUUUUGUAUUUAUUUGAACAUUUUAACAAUAAAAUUUAUUUGUAGCAAGGACUUGUAUUUGGAUCUAAGACUAAUUGGCAGAAGGAGCGGGUGGGAAAUAAAUGGAAAUGCAUUGUAUGGAUUAUGAAAUUCUCAAAGAAUUAAUAAUUUUUUUCCAAACAGAAUCGUGAACUAGGGGAGGGUAAUAGCCAGAAAAUUACUUGUUGCACAAGCGUCAAAGCCUGAGUUCAAUUUGUCCACACCCACGGACACAAUCCUCUAGGAGCGCAUCCUGCAUAAAGUGUGUCUCGGGACAGUAACAAUGCAUGCAUGCAGACUCCCUGAAAAAGAGGAAACGGCCCAGGUGAAAAU